rnacentral:rRNA from 1 species
GAUCCUGGCUCAGGAUGAACGCUGGCGGCAUGCCUAGACAUGCAAGUCGAACGAGGCGGCCCACUGAUUUGAAAAGAAGUUGGAGUGCUUGCACAAAGAUGGAAUUUUAAUGAAGUGGAACUUCCGCCUAGUGGCGCAAGGGUGAGUAACACGUGGGUAAUCUACCUUAGAGACUGGGAUAACAGUUGGAAACGACUGCUAAUACCGGAUGAUAUGUAAGAAGAUACGUUUUCUUAUAUUAAAAGGAG